CAAAAACAUCUUUUCUUGUUAGUUUUUGAAGUAUGGCCUGCCCACUGACAUUUGAGUUGAAGGGCCGCGGUAUUUUGACCGUGCAAAGGUAGCAUAAUCAUUAGUUCUUUAAUUGUGAUCUGGUAUGAAUGGUUUGACGAGACGUUAGCUGUCUUAAGGGUAUUAGGCAUUGAAUUUAGUUUUUGAGUUAAAAUUCUUAAAUAUUUUUAUGGGACGAGAAGACCCUAUAGAGUUUUACAUUUAUCUUAUUUAUGUGGUUGUUUGUUUGUUUUAUUAAUUUAGUUAGGUGUUUUGUUGGGGUGAUGGGAGGAAUUUAUUUAACUCCUCUUUGUUGUUAGGGUAUAUUUAUUUAUAUUUAUUUGAUCCAUUUAUUUUGAUUAUAAAAUUAAAUUACCUU
rnacentral:rRNA from 1 species